rnacentral:rRNA from 1 species
CGGCGGACGGGCGAGUAACACGUGGGUAACCUACCUAUAAGACUGGGACAACUUCGGGAAACCGGAGCUAAUACCGGAUAAUAUGUUGAACCGCAUGGUUCAAUAGUGAAAGAUGGUUUUGCUAUCACUUAUAGAUGGACCCGCGCCGUAUUAGCUAGUUGGUGAGGUAACGGCUUACCAAGGCAACGAUACGUAGCCGACCUGAGAGGGUGAUCGGCCACACUGGAACUGAGACACGGUCCAG